rnacentral:rRNA from 1 species
UACGUAGGGGGCUAGCGUUGUCCGGAAUCAUUGGGCGUAAAGCGCGUGUAGGCGGUCCGGUAAGUCCGCUGUGAAAGUCGGGGGCUCAACCCUCGGAUGCCGGUGGAUACUGUCGGGCUUGAGUACGGAAGAGGCGAGUGGAAUUCCUGGUGUAGCGGUGAAAUGCGCAGAUAUCAGGAGGAACACCAAUUGCGAAGGCAGCUCGCUGGGACGUAACUGACACUGAGGCACGAAAGCGUGGGGAUCAAACAGG